rnacentral:rRNA from 1 species
AUGCUAGGUAGUCUUGAUUGUAUGCAUUGGAGGUGGAAAAAUUGCCCAAAGGCAUGGCACGGAAUGUAUUGCAGUAAAAGCCGUGAUGCUACCAUUGUGCUUGAGGCCGUAGCAUCUCAGGACACAUGGAUUUGGCAUGCAUUCUUUGGGUUGCCGGGAACACUCAAUGAUAUCAAUAUCCUCAAUAGAUCUCCUUUGUUCAAAAGAUUAGUUUCUGAGGAUGCUCCAGCUUGCAACUACAAAAUCAUGGACAAUGAGUACUCAAUGGGAUACUAUCUCACCGAUGGCAUCUAUCCCGAAUGGGCAACUCUUGUGAAGUCCAUCAAGGAGAAAAAUGGGAUGCCCUUAACAAGAAAAGAGGCUCAUUUCACCAAGGCACAAGAGGCAGCCCGCAAGGAUAUUGAGAGAGCUUUCGGUGUUUUGCAAGCAAGGUUUGCCAUAGUUCGUGGUCCAGCUCGGUUUUGGAACAAAAAAACCUUGGUGAACAUCAUGAAAUGUUGUGUGAUUCUACACAACAUGAUCCUAGAGGAUGAGAGAGGGUUAAACCUCCCUUGUUUCUAUGACAAUGUUGGUACCCGUGUGCAACCGGAAAGAAACCCUUCUCGCAUACACGCUUUUCUUCAAACACAUCGUGAGAUUGAGGAUGCAACCACUCAUGGUCGGCUCCGGGAUGAUCUAGUAGAGCACCAC